GGCAGACGGGAGAGUAACACGUGGGAACGUGCCCUUCAGUUCGGAACAACUCAGGGAAACUUGGGCUAAUACCGAAUACGUCCGUAAGGAGAAAGAUUUAUCGCUGAAGGAUCGGCCCGCGUCUGAUUAGCUAGUUGGUGGGGUAAUGGCCCACCAAGGCGACGAUCAGUAGCUGGUCUGAGAGGAUGAUCAGCCUCACUGGGACUGAGACACGGCCCAGACUCCUACGGGAGGCAGCAGUGGGGAAUAUUGGACAAUGGGCGCAAGCCUGAUCCAGCCAUGCCGCGUGGGUGAUGAAGGCCCUAGGGUUGUAAAGCCCUUUCGGCGGGGAAGAUAAUGACGGUACCCGCAGAAGAAGCCCCGGCUAACUUCGUGCCAGCCGCCGCGG
rnacentral:rRNA from 1 species